CUUGUCCAGAAUCCUGUGUUUGGCGUGGAAAGAGGGUUGGUUCAAAAGAAAAAGAAAUAAUUCUACUAACAAAGAUGUCCCAGGUCUUUCUUGUUUCCUUGGUUCUCUUGUUGACCAUCUGUGCAGCUACGUCACUUCCAGCUGACCACCCGCAGCCUGGGUACGACAAUGACUUGGUACUUGACUACAGGGAGAACAAAAGAGGCUUCCGUGGACUCCCGCCAUCAGCACGAAAGGGAAGGCGAGGUUACCUCGACGAUCCUUAUGGGUACGCCUCCGACAAGGAACCAGCUGAUUAUGAGCCCGUCAGCGUGUAGAAGGAAGGCUACGUUAUUGAAGUAAAUAAUUGGGUCGGGACUAAUAAGAUGAAAUAAAGUGACGUCGCCGAUU